CAAUCUUUUCGUGAUCGGUUAGUUGGACUUACGAAAAACACCAAUAUGUUGCACCGGAUAUAGUUUCUUACUUUUUCAUUUUGUUCCUUGUCAGCAGUAAAUUUUGUACGACAAUUAUGUAUGUAAAUUCAACGGAUGCUAAAAUUUGAAGCUGACUAAUUUGAUGCAACGCCAUAUUGAACAAUCCCACUCAAAUGAGAAAUUUGUUGUAAAGAAGUGAUAUAUUUAACCGUAAUCAGGAGUUUUGGAGUGCAUUAGAAGAAUAUUACUCUAAGUCCUAUAGACACGAACCACAGAUCUUCAGAAACGAUAUUCAAAUCUCACAGUUUGACACAAGCGCGUGUUAAACAACACAAAAAUUACUUUCUACACUUGGCCUUGCGCAGUUGAAACGGAGCGGCUUUGUUAAAGCACGAUCGUAAACACCUAUGCGAACUUUUCCACGAAAAUUAAUCAAUAUCCAUUGCGUCAUCUUGGCAUAAUAUAAAGUUCAAUAUGGCGGCAUAUUGUCUUUAUAUUGCGUCAAAUUAUAUUUGCAUACGCGACCCGUGUAGUAUACAUAUCUACGGCUGCGAUGUAAAUAUUUAAACUUUUGAAUUGUACUUAGACGUGACUAAACGAACCACUGCUCCCGUUGUUCAGUGGGAGUUUGUGAAAGUGAUCAUUCAAACGGGUAACUCUGAAACGCACAAAUCGCUAACGUAUAGAGGAAACAGCACGGUAUAGCAGUUCGACAUGGUUAGAAAGAAUCAGAAAUUUUAGAAUCGGCAGUUCAGCACAUCACAUGUCAGGUGUUUUAAAGACAGAGUAAGGGAGGCCAGGAAUAGUUGGCUUAAUCAUGUACACUGUUGGAAUAAUGAGUAUGAAGGUAGACAAGAUGUCGGGCUUAGGACUGCCGGGUAAGAAACCCAGAUUAAAUAUGUAAUGAAAGAGUGCAUGAAGUUAGUUUGAGACAAGGCAAUACAUUGGACAGAAAUUUAUGGAGCUUGAGGCAGAAUAUUUGCUUUAACUAA